rnacentral:tRNA from 2 species
AAGAGAAGUCUGGGACAAGGAAAACUGCUAAUUUCUCCUCCCCAUGGUUCAAAUCCAUGUUUUCUUA